AAGCAGAGGAUGCUGGGAGGGGCAGGGUUACAGCACACGGAGGUAUAAAAGCAGGAAGAUGAAGGAGCUUUGCCUGUGCGUCUAUCGUGCUGAAUGUUGUCAGUUGUAACCUGAGUUAAACACCUCUCCUGCCCUGACUGCUGCCCAGCUUUAUGUGGUUGUGUUGAAAUGGAUGCCAAAACGGACUUCUACCUUGCAGAAGAUAACUUUAAAACGUGUUGUAUUGAAUUUGUGAAACAUUCCCAAAAUAUUGCAGACGGGUGGGAAUGGAAAAGUUUACAGGGAACAGAUGAAGGCUACAUGUAUAAAGUCUGCUACCAUUCGAGGCCUAAAUGUAUAGUAUCAUCUGAAAGAAAAGAAACUGAUGAAGACGAAAGGGUGUCCAUUGUUAGUGAAACAGAUAUUUACAAUGAAGAUUUUGAUGUCUCUCAUGUACCUCAGCUUACACAAGAGACAGAGAUGAUUCACUAUGAGUACCAUGUCUUGUACUCGAUCAGUUACCAGGCUCCUGUGCUAUAUUUUAGGGCAAGCUUUCUAGAUGGAAAGCCUCUAACAUUGGAUGAGAUAUGGGAAAGGGUCCAUGACUGCUUCAGGUCGAGCCUUCUACAAGGACCAUGGGAGACAAUUACACAGCAAGAACAUCCAAUUUUGGGACAGCCAUUUUUUGUUCUUCAUCCUUGUCGGACCAAUGAAUUCAUGUCGUCACUGCAAGGAACCAGUGCCAGAAAUGGAAAUUACAUUAUUUCCUGGUUAAGUACAGUAGGACCUGUUGCUGGACUACAUCUGCCACUAAGUUAUGGAAAGAACGUGUAAAGGGUCUACAGCCAAGUCAUCUUCUGACAAGGAGCUCGGUCUUUCCAAGUCUGAAUCUGCUUGUGGAGUAAAACCUUGGGGUGAGCAACAACAGUGUCUGCUGGAUUAGUUCCAGCCAUUAUAUACUGCUUCAGACUGAUGGACUCUGCAUACUGACACAAGAGUAUGUUGUGGGGGUUGACAUGGAGCCUGCAGUUUUGGAGUCUAACAUCCCCAGAUAAUGGCUUUAAUCAGAAUGGAUACAAUGAAAUUGUAUCAUGAUGUCCUCUGAGUCAUGUCUUUUCUGUGCUCAAUUAAACAGAUUAUUUAGACGAGGGAUGCAAAACUGCUUAUGAACUGCCAUUAACAGCACCCUAUGUACAGUCAAAGGCCACAGGGGAUCUCGGAAUUUUUCAUCUGGAACAGCUGCCCAACCUAAUGGUCAAAGUCUUUAUGUAGCUCUGUAGCUGCUCCCAAACUGCAGCCCUCACCAUCAUAGGACUUGCAAUAAUCAAAACCAGUUGGAGAACUACAAGUUAUAUCUACACUUAAAGUUCUACGGAAAGAGUGACCCCUAAGCUUGGCUUUUCAACUGCCCAGAGCCAACUGAGCAUGUGCAGUGUCACUGACACUCAAAAGAGGCCUAACAAGAUCCAAGAUUGCGAGCUCUUGUGCACAACAUUGAAUUACCUGGAUCCUUAUUUGUUAUAGCAUCGCUGAACCUCUCUACUGGAAUAAUAGUGGCCUGCAAGCCGGCAGUGCUGGAGAAGUACAGCACAAUAUGGACACUAGCCAUUAACCCAAACAAAGUAAAGGUCAUGAUGUUCCAGAAACUAAAACAACUGUAUAUUGAGUGACACUAAUAGCUAUACCUACCUUGGCCUAGAAAUCAGCCAAUCAGGAAGCUUUAAACCAGCAAUAGCUGUCCUAAAAGACAAGGCAUGCAGGACCUUCUAUGUUAUGCCAUCAGAAGAAACCUCUACCACCUUAAACCACCAGUGUCAUCACCCCAAUCCUCGUCUAUGGUAGCAAAGUGUGAGAUCCUGUCACUAACCCAGACCAAUCCAGAUGGGACUCCAGCCCAACAGAAAUAUUCCAUCUGGAAUUCUGGAAGCACCUUCUCCAGGUCCAUCGGGGUACCUCAAGGUCUGCCUGUUGGACUGACCUGGGCAGAUUUCCCCUACUGAUCACCAUACAGAAGAGGACGCUCUCAUUCUGGGCACACUUACAGAACAGCAGUCCCAUGACCUACCAGCAUAAAGCCUGGCUGAACAACAAGACCAAUGGAAAACCAAACACCCUUAGACAACUCAUCAGCACCCUGCCCACCCAAGACUCCCGCCAAAUGACAAAAGGCCAAGUAACAAACAAACACAUCUAAAGAGCAAUACGUCUGUGAUUGUAGAAAGGAAAUAU